CAGCAGCCGCGGGAACACGUAGGUGGCAAGCGUUGUCCGGAAUUAUUGGGCGUAAAGGGCUCGCAGGCGGUUUCUUAAGUCUGAUGUGAAAGUCCCCGGCUCAACCGGGGAGGGUCAUUGGAAACUGGGAAACUUGAGUGCAGAAGAGGAGAGUGGAAUUCCACGUGUAGCGGUGAAAUGCGUAGAUAUAUGGAGGAACACCGGUGGCGAAAGCGGCUCUCUGGUCUGUAACUGACGCUGAGGCUCGAAAGCGUGGGGAGCGAACAGGAUUAGAUACCCCCGUAGUCCCUGUCUCUUAUAA
rnacentral:rRNA from 1 species